rnacentral:rRNA from 1 species
GACGAACGCUGGCGGCGUGCUUAACACAUGCAAGUCGAACGGAAAGGCCCUGCUUUUGUGGGGUGCUCGAGUGGCGAACGGGUGAGUAACACGUGAGUAACCUGCCCUUGACUUUGGGAUAACUUCAGGAAACUGGGGCUAAUACCGGAUAGGAGCUCCUGCUGCAUGGUGGGGGUUGGAAAGUUUCGGCGGUUGGGGAUGGACUCGCGGCUUAUCAGCUUGUUGGUGGGGUAGUGGCUUACCAAGGCUUUGACGGGUAGCCGGCCUGAGGGGGUGACCGGCCACAUUGGGACUGAGAUACGGCCCAGACUCCUACGGGAGGCAGCAGUGGGGAAUAUUGCACAAUGGGCGGAAGCCUGAUGCAGCAACGCCGCGUGCGGGAUGACGGCCUUCGGGUUGUAAACCGCUUUCGCCUGUGACGAAGCGUGAGUGACGGUAAUGGGUAAAGAAGCACCGGCUAACUACGUGCCAGCAGCCGCGGUGAUACGUAGGGUGCGAGCGUUGUCCGGAUUUAUUGGGCGUAAAGGGCUCGUAGGUGGUUGAUCGCGUCGGAAGUGUAAUCUUGGGGCUUAACCCUGAGCGUGCUUUCGAUACGGGUUGACUUGAGGAAGGUAGGGGAGAAUGGAAUUCCUGGUGGAGCGGUGGAAUGCGCAGAUAUCAGGAGGAACACCAGUGGCGAAGGCGGUUCUCUGGGCCUUUCCUGACGCUGAGGAGCGAAUGCGUGGGGAGCGAACAGGCUUAGAUACCCUGGUAGUCCACGCUGUAAACGGUGGGUACUAGGUGUGGGGUCCAUUCCACGGGUUCCGUGCCGUAGCUAACGCUUUAAGUACCCCGCCUGGGGAGUACGGCCGCAAGGCUAAAACUCAAAGGAAUUGACGGGGCCCCGCACAAGCGGCGGAGCAUGCGGAUUAAUUCGAUGCAACGCGUAGAACCUUACCUGGGUUUGACAUGGAUCGGGAGUGCUCAGAGAUGGGUGUGCCUCUUUUGGGGUCGGUUCACAGGUGGUGCAUGGCUGUCGUCAGCUCGUGUCGUGAGAUGUUGGGUUAAGUCCCGCAACGAGCGCAACCCUUGUUCACUGUUGCCAGCACGUUAUGGUGGGGACUCAGUGGAGACCGCCGGGGUCAACUCGGAGGAAGGUGGGGAUGACGUCAAGUCAUCAUGCCCCUUAUGUCCAGGGCUUCACGCAUGCUACAAUGGCUGGUACAGAGAGUGGCGAGCCUGUGAGGGUGAGCGAAUCUCGGAAAGCCGGUCUCAGUUCGGAUUGGGGUCUGCAACUCGACCUCAUGAAGUCGGAGUCGCUAGUAAUCGCAGAUCAGCAACGCUGCGGUGAAUACGUUCCCGGG